AAGCAUGUGUUUUAAAAUAAUUAUAUAAAACUCUUCACACUUUUCCAAAUUUGCAAACUCCAAAACAUUUUUCUAUCAGAUCAUUAGUUAUAAUUUUGGUCAGGAAAUGUGGUCUCUAAUAACUAACUCCCCAUGUACAAGGCUGGGCCUGUGUGAACAUGAAAAUAAAAAAGGUAUAUAAGCUUCUGUAGAGUUUUAUGUUUACUUUUAUCAACCUGUGUCUCUCAAUCUGUGUUGUACAUGAGAAUUUCUUCCAGGAAGAAAACUCACAGAGGUAAAUAUAUCAGAAACAAAGCAGGAUGAUUAACAGAAUACUCAGAGAGUAGGGACCAUAAUCGCUAAAUACUGCAGUACUGUUCCAACACGAGAAACGAUACAUACUUGACUGACCUUUUUCCAGAGAAUAAAAGAGAAAAUAUGGAAAGAGAAUAUAAAAGAGAAUAAAAGAGAAAAUAAAGAAUAACAACCAAAAUGCCAGACUGCAUUAGAUAAAUGGGGUCUUACUCUCAUUCAAAUCACUCCAAUUUAAUGAAAUAUAGAGGGUUCUCAUGCAAGGUGACAUGUGUUGAAGUCAAGAUUGUAUGAAAGAAAGCAACCAUAAAUAAAUAUACAUGUAAAUAAUGUAAAUAUUUAUUUAUUUUAAUAUUAUGUAUUUUAUAUGUAUGUACGAUUGCACGGGCUUGCGUUGACAGGUGGCGUGAGCUGAACUCCUUAGGAAGAGUCUGGGAGGAGGAGCCUCAGCGCCAGGGCACCCACAUGUUUCUCAUCCCAGGCCUCCCAGGCCAGCCGGCUCCCAAGAUCCCGCGAGAUCAGGCUUCCACCCGGAAAUGUACCUGCAGCUGCUUGCAGUGCCUCGGACAGAUGCAGUUACUUGGCUGUCUCAAAGUUUUCAACACCUAGGAAAAAAACAUUUUCUCUUUCUGGCUUUUAUUCUCGAUAAUCUUUAGCUAAAUUUGUUUCACAAAUUAAAAAGAAGAAGGAGAAGAAGAAGAAGAAAAAGUGAAGAAGCAGUUUCUUGUUCCUGCUUCUAAGGACACUAGAAAUCCAACAUAGAAACCAGGGGACAUUGAUGACUGGAUCUAUGUAAUAAUGGACAAUUCUGUAUGGCCCUAAAGCAUACAAAUCUCACUGCAAGGAAUCAUACGUCCUUGACGAAUGUCACCCGUCCAGUCUGUUGGGAAACCAGUGACAGUGUGGGCAAGGAUAAGACACAAGGGUUCUGAAGACCCACAUUCCCGAUUUUACAGAUGUGGAAACUGAGAUCCAGGAUUAGCUAAGUGGUUGCUUAAAACAAAACUGUUGGAGAUAGAAAUGGAGCAAGGACCUAGGUUUUGGCAUCCAAUUCCAUGUAAUUCUUGGUAAGCUACACCAACUCUUUUUAAAGCACUAUUUAUCAAAAAAGCUACUUGAAUCAAUUAUAGUAGAUAUGCACACAGGACUUUUUUUUGGGGGGGGGGAGGGAGUCAUCUGGAAUGAGAUGGUCAGGUGUAAAUACCAUAAACAAAUAGAUUGGUUUUCACGUAAAUGGGUAAUCUAACACAGAAGUCCGUCUGUGAAAUGAGUUAGUGUGCUAUGUGGAACCAGGAAUGGGAGAUAACUGCAACACGGACAGCUCAAAUGGAUUAGAAUUUCAUCUAUGGCACACUACACUAAGUCUGCAAGAAAACACAAAUUCCAGGUCUGAGUAAAUGAUGAAAUAGAGGGGCUGGCUUGACCAACUUGACCUCAGAUUUUAGUUGAGUCUGGAGAUGCAGAUUAACCAGAGACACCUAAACUGUAAGACUGGGAAAGGCAGAAGAUGUCUGUGUACGCUUAACAAAGAGAAAAAAAAGUAAUUUGUUAGCCAAACAUACACGAUUGCAUUUGAAGGCUUUUUCAUAGAUUCUGAAGGAGCAAGGAAUAUUCAAAUAUAUGCUGAUAAUUUCUCUGUACUUUAUCAAUGAUACUAAUUACCAGGACUUCUUCAGAAGAGGUUGACAGGCUAUUCACUUAGCCUCAGUAGCAAAAUGUAUGAAAUGGCAUUGCCGAAGGGUUUUAAACCGAGAAAAAAUUGAAAACAUAGCCAGCUGCCAGAUGGAAGAUAUGUUUGCAGAGCUCAGAAAACUGCUGCAGAGCAAACACUGCUGAACAAUAGCAACUGGGGCCUGCUUUGGCACUUGUUAUCUAUUUGCAGUCAUUCAUAAAAUUUUAAUGUUUGGACAUUAAACAGAGCACAGAAGAGAUAUUGCUAUGGUCUGCUAAGUGUUAGUGCUGGAUUAAGACCUAUAGUCAGAAUUAUGAAAAACACAGCAACACAAGCAGCUAUAAUGAUUGAAGAGAA